GCAUUGGUGGUUCCAUGGUAAAAUUCUCGCCUUCUAUGUGAGAGACCUGGGUUCAGCUCCUGGCCAAUGCC
rnacentral:tRNA from 1 species